AAGAGUGGCGAACGGGUGAGUAACACGUGGGAAACCUACCUCUUAGCAGGGGAUAACAUUUGGAAACAGAUGCUAAUACCGUAUAACAAUAGCAACCGCAUGGUUGCUACUUAAAAGAUGGUUCUGCUAUCACUAAGAGAUGGUCCCGCGGUGCAUUAGUUAGUUGGUGAGGUAAUGGCUCACCAAGACGAUGAUGCAUAGCCGAGUUGAGAGACUGAUCGGCCACAAUGGGACUGAGACACGGCCCAUACUCCUACGGGAGGCAGCAGUACGGAAUCUUCCACAAUGGGCGAAAGCCUGAUGGAGCAACGCCGCGUGUGUGAUGAAGGGUUUCGGCUCGUAAGACACUGUUGUAAGAGAAAAAUGACAUUGAGAGUAACUGUUCAAUGUGUGACGGCAUCUUACCAUAAAGGAACGGCUAAAUACGUGCCACCAGCCGCGGUAAUACGUAUGUUCCAAGCGUUAUCCGGAUUUAUUGGGCGUAAAGCGAGCGCAUACGGUUAUUUAAGUCUGAAGUGAAAGCCCUCAGCUCAACUGAGGAAUUGCUUUGGAAACUGGAUGACUUGAGUGCAGUAGAGGAAAGUGGAACUCCAUGUGUAGC
rnacentral:rRNA from 1 species